GAUGAACGCUGGCGGCGUGCCUAAUACAUGCAAGUCGAGCGAACGGACGAGAAGCUUGCUUCUCUGAUGUUAGCGGCGGACGGGUGAGUAACACGUGGAUAACCUACCUAUAAGACUGGGAUAACUUCGGGAAACCGGAGCUAAUACCGGAUGAUAUUUUGAACCGCAUGGUUCAAAAGUGAAAGACGGUCUUGCUGUCACUUAUAGAUGGAUCCGCGCUGCAUUAGCUAGUUGGUAAGGUAACGGCUUACCAAGGCAACGAUGCAUAGCCGACCUGAGAGGGUGAUCGGCCACACUGGAACUGAGCCACGGUCCAGACUCCUACGGGAGGCAGCAGUAGGGAAUCUUCCGCAAUGGGCGAAAGCCUGACGGAGCAACGCCGCGUGAGUGAUGCAGGUCUUCGGAUCGUAAAACUCUGUUAUUAGGGAAGAACAUAUGUGUAAGUAACUGUGCACAUCUUGACGGUACCUAAUCAGAAAGCCACGGCUAACUACGUG
rnacentral:rRNA from 1 species